GUCUACGGCCAUACCACCCUGCACACGCCCGAUCCCGUCUGAUCUCGGAAACUAAGCAGGGUCGGGCCUGGUUAGUACUUGGAUGGGAGAAACUGUAUUUCUUCUAGUUGUCAGUAUUAGGAAAUCAAGUCUGACC
rnacentral:rRNA from 1 species